UACAGAGGUCUCAAGCGUUGUUCGGAUUCAUUGGGCGUAAAGGGUGCGUAGGCGGCGCGGUAAGUCGGAUGUGAAAUCUCGGAGCUUAACUCCGAAACUGCAUUCGAUACUGCCGUGCUUGAGGACUGGAGAGGAGACUGGAAUUUACGGUGUAGCGGUGAAAUGCGUAGAUAUCGUAAGGAAGACCAGUGGCGAAGGCGGAUCUCUGGACAGUUCCUGACACUGAGGCACGAAGGCCAGGGGAGCAAACGGG
rnacentral:rRNA from 1 species